UAUUUGCAUUUGUUUGAUUUCCAUUUUGUUGGAAUUAGUAAUCAAUCGAUUCGGAUCUGUUGUGUGUCUAAUGCUCCUUAGUCCUUAUCCCUUGACCUUCGCCACGUCGAAAAUUGUUCUACAUACUAAUCAUUUACUGAAUUUUACAAAAAUGUACUCAGAAUUUUCUGAAUCUACCAAUAAUUUACUGAAGUUACAAAAAAAAACCAAGUACGCCCAGGCAAAUAUUUCAAAUCCUGCUCAUUGCUCUUCAGCUUCAAUAGCCAUAUUAGGAGAUUUGAACGAACAUCUUAAAAUUGUGAAGAAAAUGGCAUCGAUAAAAUUAAGUACCUACCGUAAAACAGAAACGGAAUUAGAAAUUAUACAAACUAUGCAGAUACGAUACUUACAUAUUUUAUGAACUAAUUGCGCAAUGAAGAGUGUUUUUUCAUCGAAUACAUACACCAAAACAUAAAAACAGCUUACUGGAAAAACCGAGGGAAAAACCUUAAAUUAAAAAUUUCUUUAAUUUUGUUACCCUAAUAUUCGUUUUUUCUGUAGGUGUUUGAAAAACAUGCAUACUUUUAUUGUUUCGUUGAAAAAUAUUAAAAUCGCCUGGAGGCCGCCAUGGAAUUUUUAUGUUAGUGUACAACAAGUGAAAUUAGUAUUCGAAUUAGAGGAAGUAAUGGAAUUAGCCGUGGAAUUAUUCGUAAUGGUACUGGAGUAUAUGUGAUAUGACUGCAUUAAUGUAGACCAAAAUUGGUCGGUCCAAAUAGAGCUAAAAAAACCUUUUUUGGACAUAGCGAUUUGAUUGUUCGAUAUGUGAGACCCCUUAAUAAUUUGUACAGACGGCACCCUGUAUGACAUUCAGUUCUCGAGAUAUUCGCACUUCCAAGUCAUCGCCAAUACAUAUGUUUCGUCCAAACGUUCCUAUCGCCUUUUUUUUCACCCCACGAAUAGAUGUCCCGUCCAGCGAUUUCAUUUUUUCUUUGUGCGUACCCUGCCCCCGACACUCCGUUCUCGAGAUAUCUUCCCUACCAUAGAUCUCGAUAAUGGGGUCUGGGGGAAGGAAUGUGGUUGGUAAAAAUUAAUUCCUGUCGUUGAGACCUUUCAUUCACGAGGAUGAAUUGUUAAUUAUACGCACUAAAAGAAAAAUUGCAACAAUUAACUACAUUUACUAAAGAUGCGAUAAACAAUAUGAAAUUUCCGAAAGUAUCAAUAAAACCGACAUUACCAAGGAACAACAACAAUUACAACAAAAUUGCUGAGUGAUCAAUCCUUUGAUCUUUGCAUUCCUUAUUCUUUUGUACGACGGUGACUUUAAAAUAUGAUGUUUCAUUCCUUCGUAUUUCACUAAGUGUUAAUUUAGGAAAACGGCAGUAAUGCGUUUUGAUACUCCAGCUGCAAAAUUUACCACUGGAUUGUAGUUUGUAGUGGAUUAUCAGUUACCCUGAUCGAAGAUUUUGGAACCACGUAAAAAUGUAAUAUAUACCACUUAAUUAAUAACGUGCCUUUUCCAAGCCCUUAAUUACAAAUUUCGUGUAUUACUUAUUUAUCGGACGGAUGUAUCGGACACGGCGUGCGGUUACUUCGAUAUUUUACACGUUUUCGUACUUUAGGUGUAAUUUGUGUAUUUUCUCAUAGCAAUUUUGAAAAGGAGAAUAAGAAAAUUUAGGUCGCCCUUAUUUAUGUAAACCGUCGCUAGUAGGGUAGGUAAGAGAUAGGUAACGAAAUUUAUUAAAAAAAAAACCCUCUAAACUUCAUUCUAGAUUCUCCUACCCGGGACCCUUGUUUACCUGUAAAUGGUCAUGGGGUCUUAAAUAUCUUAGAAAUCAUUGUUUAAUCCCGUCCUAAUAACCCUAACGGAAUUUUGUGUCUAUAUUACGCACAUGUUCUAAAAGCAUUUUAAUCUCUGUAUGUUACAGCAGCACCACAAGGUAUAAUGUUUGAUUACCUACGUCCACAUUUGUCGAAUAAACUAAACACACCACCAUUAACGAGUAGUAGGUCUACAUCAGUGCAUGUAUUAUUAAUCUUGUUCUGUGAGUUUGUAUCACUGUGCGAUAAAGCGUCACACUCCCAAAAGCGGGCUAACGCGUAUUUAUCAUAUCACAAUGAAUAAAAUAAUAAAGUGGGAAUGAGCAUCAGAGACUUUCCACAGCAUUAUUUAUUCGAAAAUUAAUUCUAAACUUUAUUCAAAUACUCAGAUAUGUCGCCCAAAUGGGGCUGAUUACAGAAAAGUAUAAACAAAAAAAGACGAGGCCCAUAUUUUAGACAUACGGAGUGUUUAAUCAAAGUGGUGUUUCCACUGGAACAUCCUGUAUUCUUUUAAGUAUUUAAAAAUUGAAUUUAUUAACUCAAAGCGAGACUCAAAGUAUAUUUCGCUAAGAUUUUGUUUGAAAGAAAUAGUCUCAUUUUCGAAUAUAGAAGAACAAAACAAUAUUAAUUUAUUACGAAAUUACCUAUACAAUAAAUAAAUUAUAAGAAACCAGCGGUCGAUCAAAUGAGAUGUUAAUUAAUGUGACCUUUAUGUUGAUUUGGGCAGGCUUGAUUUCGUGUGCAAAAUGACUUAUAUUUUAAUUUUUGGAGAUAAUUCAUGGCAUUGCCUCGCGUAUUCUUGGUUUGAUAUUCUCUUUGUUCGUACAGAAUAAUAAUACCUUGUCUUAUACAAAAAUCCAACUUUAGUCAGUGUGAACAUCUAUCGGAAUAACGACCAUGACAUCCUCGACUGAUACAGCAUUUUGUAAACUUUUGUAGGUCGUUGUUUGCUGGAUUUUUGAGUGUGCGAGUUCUUAUAAGUCCCUAUCUGAUGUGAAAGGGUUCAAUUACGUAAUGGUACACUAAAUUUUCUUAUAAUUCAGCUUGAUACUUUAAUUUUUAUUUAGAAAAACCUCCCUCUAAGCCACUAUCCUAUUCGCAUGGUAUAUAAAAGCGUGAUUUGGGGUUUUUGGGGGGCGCUCAUUUUGCGUAUUUGGCUCGAAAAGAGGAUAGUAGCAUUGUUAUCGCACCAUGAAUAAGUACUUGAGACCACGUUUUUUUCGCAGCGGAAGCCAUCAGAACUGAUUACAUAAUUUGAAUAUAAUACAAUCAAUUGAAGUUAUAUUUAAACUAAAUAACAAGAUAAUAGAAAAAAGAUAUUGUCUGAUAUGUACGGCUUUCUAGAAAAUAAGUUCAUUUUACCAAGAAUUGUUUUACUUUGUGAUAAGCUAAUAGUUAAUCGGUAAACAACGAAAGGUGCUAGGAAAUCUUACUUUGAUAAGCAUUUUCGUGCUCAACUUUUCUAUAAAAGGUGCAUUUUGUAAUGCUUCAACCUGUAGGACCGAGAUUCUGUUACUUUUCAUCAGGUAUUACUUUUGCCUUUUUUGUCCACACAAAAGGGCGUUGUAACUUACAGAAUUAGUAAUAGUUUGUAUUAACACUCACAAAAUUGAAGAGCUAAGAUAACGUUUGAUAGUGUAUCACUCUCAUGCGAUAAUACCUACAUAUUUAGUGUAACUAUGACUACUAUGAGUAAGACAUUGGUGAAUCAGUAAUUCAAAUAAGUAUAGAGUACCUAAUUAGUUUCAUCCCCUGUUGACCUGACAAACCAUUCGUAAUCCCGAUAUUUAAGGAGGAAAUAAACACGGCAGAUGGUUACAUAGUUCCCAAAAUAGUGGUGUCCAAUACUACGACUUACCAGUAGUCAUUCCAUUCUCGAAAACCUCGAAUUCGGAGUAAAUCGGUUUCCUAUUCGACGAAUUGUGUUGUUUACUAAUUCAAGCAUUGUUUGUUCAUUCUAAUUAGGAAAUUGCCUGUGAUGGCUUCCAUUAAUGAAUCAUUACAAAGCAAAAAUGAGAUCUAUUCAGCACGUUACCUAAAUUUAAAUGUUUAUGUAUCAUACCCUUAUUAACACAAACGCAUUUCCACACUAUUUAUACUUUCCUCUAACGUUGCGUAAUAAAAUAAAAAUGUCGGAAUUAUUUCACUAUAUCUUACUCAUCAUAAGUCUUUCUAUUUGGCUCAACUUAGUCACUAUCUAUGGUUUGUAUUUACUACGAAUCGUUGGACCUUUUUGGGAGAUCACGUAUUUACCUCAUCUUUAUUGGAAAUGGGUAUGCUAAUAUUUUUAUACUUCGAUAAUUGAAACAUUUUCAAGCACGCAAUUUUACAAAUGCCCAAAGUCUCUUUAUUCUUGAUAAAUCGGUAUAUUUGUCUGAGAAGUAAAUAUUAAACAGUUUCCUUGUUCUAUUGCACCAUAUUCGGUUACCUGUAUUGUAUAAGAUACCUUUGUCUAUAAAAUAGGAUUUUCAAAAUUAUGUAAGUACAGAGCUGGGUAGUGCUUGCAUUAAAGGUGCAUAUAAAUUACUCCGAUUUACUCAAAAAAGACCCCCGUUUGCAAACACUGAGGGCUUGCAAGCACGCUGGGUGCUUUCGAGCACUGAAUUUAGAUAUCAAAUGUAUGUCCAUUGAUUGCUUUCUUGUUUUUCUGCAUCCUAAAAAUCGUAUGUCGUAAUAUUCGAACUUGAAGGGAUAGUUUGAAUAAGAAAGACGAAGACGAAACAACGAAACUAAUAGCGCUACUUUCCCUUAUGAACAUGCGCUAAAUGAAAAUGUAUAAGAAUGAUUUUUACCUUACAAAUCAUUUGUACAGGGUGUAAAUCGAAAAGUGGAACAUAGGCGUUUAACAUGGGAAAUUACUUUUUCUUUGCGCAAA